GUGGAUUUCAAUGGUCUGCAUUUCGAAAGAAAAUUGCACGCAUGGUGGAAUACAACAGUGUGUCACCGGUGCACAAUAGAAAUUUUUGGUGCGACUGUAGUGGCUGAAAUAGGUUUUGUUUCAAAAUGGUUUACGUAUUUAGCGCAAGCGGUGUUGUGUAUUCAAAAUUUAUUAUCUUCAUUUAUUUGUAAACUGUCAGCCGCUUGCCGGAAAUCGACUGUCCCUAACAGCCAGCAUUGUUGCUUAACGGCGCGUCGUUUCUCGUUAACUCGCACGUUUGGUGCCCUGUGUGGCGAAGCAACCUUGCGACUUUCAAAGAAUAUCAAAACAUUUUGAAUUCUGAUUCCCAAAUAGCAGGCGCACAGCAUAGCCAUGCAAGCGAAAACAAUGCACCACUAUUGCGAAUAGUACACUAACUAAACACACACGUCGCCGCCACCCAAGCUGUCAUCUCAUUCUCGCACACACAAUUGUGUGGAAUAUGUCAAAAACAAAUCGGCCAUUGUUUACCAUAUGUGCGUACGCAAUAGCGACGACACUGCGGCACAACAACAACACAAACAUCUCCAAUGACUAAGCACAUUUAACGCGCGUUGCUGCUGAAGAAACUCGCCUAGCGCCCGGACGGUGGUUUGCUUGUGUAGCGCGGCUGUUUGCCUGUGAAAAAAUUUCGCUGACGUGCCUAAAUGUAUGGAAUUGCGAUUUCAAGCAUCUCGGUAAUGUGCGGAAUUCGUAUUGGAAAUUUGGUUGCUACUUCGUUGGCGACGUUCACGCGCAUGCAUUUGGAUGGCAAGCACCAGAUCUACCCGCUACGAAAACAACGAACGCCGAUUAUACAUGCAAGCGACAAGGCAGGCCGCCGCUGGCCAGUUAUAUUCGUUUGUGCGUUUAUGCUGCCGUAGGCUAUCGAUUCGUUUGGCAAUCAGCUCGAUAUCUGUUUUUGGCGCUGAAUCUCAUUCGAUGAGCGGCCGCCCGACAGUUGGCAUUCGUUGCUUGCUAGUCUCGCUGGAAACCUGGUAUAAAUAGAGCUCGAUGACUGUUGUAUUAUCGAGAAAUGCACGGCAAUCGGGCAUCGCGCAUGUAGGCAAGUGAGCGAGCGAGCAAGUUCAAUAUUCGCACAACCCCAUCGAUUUGAAAAUAAAAAACGAUUGCAAUGAAUGCUUCAAAGAAGGGCGGGACGUAGGGGAUUGUGCGACUUGUAGUUGUAGUUUAAUUAUUGCAAAUAAUCGGGGAAAAGUAAAUUUUGAAUUUUUCUCACACAAACUAAAAGAAACAGUGGAAAAUUCCAAGAAAACGUAGAUUUAAAUUUUGUUUGAUAAACAUUUACAUACUUAGGAUUAAUAUAUGAAUAGAUAACAUGAAGUUCGCUAUCAAAGCAACUAGAAAAAUAUAAAAACGUAUAAAUGUCUAAAAACGAAAAAUUUUAUAGUUUUAACUGCAAUAUUGUUAAUCUGCACAUUUAUUUAAGUUUUAUUCACAUUCUCUCAUAUUUAUUUGCAGUUAAUACCGCAAGCUUGUUCACGUACAUAGUUAGGAAUGCCACUUAUUCUAUCGCUAGUGUUGUGUGCGACACCUGUUGGUAAAAUAAGCAGUGGGUAUCGCAGCCAAGUUUGCGCAAUCAAUGUCAAUUUCCUCAUUUCUUUCUUUCAUUCUUUUCCAUUAAACCUUUGAAAGGUUAAGUUGUAUUUUCAUUGCGCUCCGCAGGGAAAUUUUAUAAGUCCUUUAAAAAUGAGUGAAACUCUGCAAUUGCGCGGUACCCUUGUUGGUCACACUGGCUGGGUAACACAAAUCGCCACCAACCCAAAGGAUCCCGACACCAUCAUCUCGGCUUCUCGUGAUAAGACCCUUAUCGUCUGGAAAUUGACCCGCGAUGAAGACACCAACUACGGUUUCCCUCAAAAGCGUUUGUACGGACACUCCCACUUCAUUAGCGAUGUUGUGCUCUCAUCCGAUGGUAACUACGCUCUGUCUGGCUCAUGGGAUAAGACUUUGCGCUUGUGGGAUUUGGCUGCUGGCAAAACCACCCGUCGUUUUGAAGAUCACACCAAGGUGGGGCGAAAUGUCACAAUUUUAAGUCAAACAUUUGUGUAGCAUAGCAGUUGAAAGGGUCUAACUUUUUAUGGAAAAAUGUCUGAAAUUGAAAAUGCACUAAGUGCAGGCAAAAUUUUUAGGAGUACAGGUGGUGCUUAUUUAGGGCCUUAUGCAACUAAUUUGACAAAGUUUGAGGUUAGAUCAGAUAGUCUAGCAAAGUAAUUUGAUAGGUCAAGCACCACCUAAAUAUAUAUAAAAAUAUGUGCCUAUGCGAGGCAGAAUUCUGGUUGAGUGUCGUGGAGCACCUUCUCGGAACAUCUUCACCGCAACGGCAGGGCGGUAAAUUGAUGUGCUCUCGGUAGCUUUCUCCGCUGACAAUCGUCAAAUUGUCUCCGGUUCUCGGGACAAGACUAUCAAGUUGUGGAACACUUUGGCCGAGUGCAAGUUCACCAUCCAGGAAGACGGUCACAGCGAUUGGGUAUCUUGCGUACGCUUCUCACCAAACCAUUCCAACCCAAUUAUCGUUUCUUGCGGUUGGGAUCGCACCGUCAAGGUCUGGAACUUGGCUAACUGCAAGUUGAAGAACAACCACCACGGCCACAAUGGCUACUUGAACACCGUGACUGUCUCACCCGACGGUUCGCUCUGCACAUCCGGUGGCAAGGACUCCAAGGCCUUGUUGUGGGAUCUUAAUGACGGCAAGAACUUGUACACUUUGGAACACAAUGACAUCAUCAAUGCUUUGUGCUUCUCACCCAACCGUUACUGGUUGUGCGUCGCUUAUGGUCCAUCCAUCAAGAUCUGGGAUUUGGCAUGCAAGAAGACCGUCGAGGAGCUCCGCCCCGAGGUUGUGUCGGGCAACUCCAAGGCUGAUCCACCACAGUGUUUGUCGUUGGCUUGGUCCACUGACGGCCAGACUUUGUUCGCUGGCUACUCUGACAAGACCAUUCGCGUAUGGCAAGUCUCUGUCUCUGCUCACUAAGCUUAUGCUUUUGUAGCAGAUAUGGACGCUUAAUUGCAGUGACAUUAUUAUUUUUAACUACAAAUUUCGUACGUACUAAGUAGUGUUGCCCAUACUGUUUGGGCAUUCAAAUUAGAAAUGUAUGCGAAAAGAAAAAUGUUUACUGUAUUUAAAAUGUUAAAUCAUUGAGCGCUGAUUUGUUUAUUAUAUAAGCAAAUAAAUAACAAGGAAAUGUCAAAAAAUCUAAAAAAAAAAUUAAAAUUGUAUAUUUUGUAUUAAUUUAGUGAUAUUUUAGUUUAAGACGUAAUUACAUAGUAAAUAUAGGGAUAUUUAUA